UACGUAGGGUGCAAGCGUUGCUCGGAAUCAUUGGGCGUAAAGGGUGCGUAGGCGGCGGGGUAAGUCAGGUGUGAAAUCUCGGGGCUCAACCCCGAAACUGCGCUUGAUACUGCCUCGCUUGAGUACUGGAGAGGAGACUGGAAUUUACGGUGUAGCAGUGAAAUGCGUAGAUAUCGUAAGGAAGACCAGUGGCGAAGGCGAGUCUCUGGACAGUUACUGACGCUGAGGCACGAAGGCCAGGGGAGCAAACGGG
rnacentral:rRNA from 1 species